CCCGGUGAAAUUAUUUAACGGCCGCGGUACUCUGACCGUGCAAAGGUAGCAUAAUCAUUUGCCUCUUAAUUAGAGGCUGGAAUGAAAGGAUAUAUGAAAUUAUAGCUGUCUCUGUUUUAUUUAUUAAAAAUUGUCUUUUAGGUGAAGAGACCUAGAUUUUAAUGAAAGACAAAAAGACCCUAUUGAGCUUUAUUAUUUAUAAGUGAUUUAUAGAGUUUUUUACUUUAUUACUUGGCAUAAUUUAGUUGGGGCGACGUAGGAAUAUAUUUAAUGUAAAUCUUCCUGAAGUAUUUAGAAUUUUUGUUCUCUUAAGUGAUCUAUUUGUAUGAUAAAAAGAACUAGUUACCAUAGGGAUAACAGGCUAAUCUUUCCGGAGAGUUCAAAUUGAUGGGAAGGGUUGGCACCUCGAUGUUGGCUUAGGGUAUCCUAAAGAUGUAGCAGUCUUUGAGGGUUGGUUUGUUCAACCAUUAAAAUCCU
rnacentral:rRNA from 1 species